AGAGAAACUCAUUUUUAGUUUUAGGCUUGGAGACAGAGCAGAGAAACCACGAGAGAAAAGGGGAAAGUGUAGGGAAGAGGAGAGAAAGUGCAUAGCCCUAAAGAAGAGACAGAGAGAGAGAAACCCAUUUACGCCAGAUCUUCUCAGCCAUGGGAUGGAUUCUAGAGAGAGAUAGGCUAAACCCAUCUCUCAAGAAGAGAGAGAAACACAGGAAAGGAUGCUCCGACCAUCUCUCUACUCCCAUUCUCUCUCUAACUUUUUCUCUAUUCUAUUCUAAGUUCUUUCUUAAUGAUUCUUGCCACAGGGUCUAUUCCUCUAAAAAAUUCAUCCACUUCUGUUUUUUUUGCUUGGACUCUGAUUUAUAGGUUUUAUCUUUUCUUCAUUGGAUCAAAGGAUUUCUUUCACGAUUGUUUGCAUUUUAAUAGCAGUAUUGUGAUUGAUUCAUUGGAAAAGAUUAAUGGCUAAUAUGCUUGACUCCUACCAUGAGCUUCUAUGAGAUGAUCCAUAAACUUCAGUGAGAGAGCUUAGGAUAGAGACAUGCUUAGGUUGCUAUUAACGGAUUGAUGCAUGGAUUGUCUUUCUAGCAAAUUGACUUGCAUGUAGCAAUCCAUCCAUCCAAUCGAUGAUAUUAAAAAAUUUUCAUGUCAAUAUAUCAAAAACAUGGCACCUUUGAUAUUUAUGUGCUCAAUUUGAAGUUGUCUAGUAUGAACUACUUGAUGUGAUGUACCAGUCAUUUAAUUUUCCCUUUAAUUGUUUAGGAGAUAUGAUCUUUCAAGAUAAUGAUUUUUUUCAAUUCAGAUUCAUUUCUCUCUAUCUACUAUGUUUGUGCAUUUUCACCUGUUGUUUGUUUUUACCGAUAUUUUCCUUUUAUUCUUUUUCAAACUGUCUCAGCAUCCUUAAUUAUGGGGAAUAUGAAAGGGGAAUUCGGAAUUUCAAUUUAAUGGUCCUGCUGCGUAGAAUUGUUCAUCUAAGCUUGAGUCAGUGCUUAAGGGUGGAGGCAUUUAGGUCUGAUCUUUGGAAACUUAGGAAUAAUUUUGGUAGACUAUAUUCAACAAACUUUGCUACGGUUCUUUGUGGGCACCCUAAUCAUUCUUGAACUUAGAAAGCAAUUUUGGAAUAGGUUUAUAAUUUCUUUCUCAUAUAUAUAUUUUUUCUUUCCAUAACAAUUAUAAAUUAAAUUCAACAGAUAUAAACAAGAUUGCAACCAUUCUUAAAAAUACCUUUUUUCAGAAAAAAAGUUGUAAAAACAUCUUCCUCACAAGAUAAUAAACUUAGCCUCUCAUUUUUUAAUUUUAAGAACAUUGUGAAUAGAAUGUUCGAGAUGGUGAUUGUGAAUUAUUAUGCUGCAAAAUUUUUCUCCUAUAAUUUAAUUUUUGUUUGUGUAUUGAGAUUUUGAUCAAUGUGUAAAUAACUAUGUAUUGUCUUUCACUUAAGAAUUUGUAUAAGGGACAAUACCCUGAUCUCCUAUAUUUGAAUAGAGUUACGACAUAUUCUUAUCAUCUAACUAAUUUAGUUGUUGUUUCAUAAUUCAUAUUUUUAUUAUAUUAUGAAAAAAAUUUAUUUUAAUGUUUUUACAUUGUCUACAAUGAGUACUUAUUAUGCUAGUGAAUUUCAUUUCAUAAAAAAAAGGUUUCGUAUCAAUGAAUCCACUCAAGCUUUGUCAAAAUGGAAGCUUGAUCGGCGACAGGUAGACCUGAUCAGAAAGACUGGUUUGGGCUCAUUGAUGGACAUAGGGUCUUUAAAGUCAAUUGCAGGUUGUUGAAGGCCUUCAUAAAAACAUCGUGUUCACAAACAAAUACUCCCGCCUAAACGUUGACGAGAUGGCAACUUUAUAUGACGUAUGACGUAUGACAGAGAUGGGUCAAUGCAACGUUAUUGAAGCUGUCAAUAACCCCACCUGCUCCCGGUCGUGGCAACACACCUAUAUAAGGAUGUUAGAAGCCGCACUUAAAAAAGAAGAGGAUUCCAGGCAUUAUGUAGUCGUGGCCCAUAAAUUGUUAGUAAAGAACACACUAGAUGCAUGAGAUGCUAGUGAAAGCGAAGAUGAUAGUGAGGAGGAUGGUGAGGAGGAUAGUGAAAGUGAAGAAGAUGGUGAGGAGAAAAAUGGAGAAAAGGAGAGUAAAGCUGAGGAGGACGAUGAAAGGAGAAUAAAGUCCAGAGAAGACCAGUAUCAUGAUCCUGCUAUGCAUGAGGAACCCAGAUGGGAACUCCGACCAAGGGUGAAGGGGAAGGGUGUACUUAAAUAGGGGUCUCCUACAUUGUUGUAAUUUUAAAGUCUUGUAGUUUGAUAUGUACAUACUCAGUUUUGCAGUCACAUUUUCAUGUAGUGCCUUGCCCUCAAAAUCUAUAUAUUAUUAACAUCUAUUUAAGAUAGUAAUCUUUCUUAAAUGAAUUCUAUUUAUCACAUUUUGUC